rnacentral:rRNA from 1 species
GACGAACGCUGGCGGCGUGCUUAACACAUGCAAGUCGAACGGAAAGGCCCUGCUUUUGUGCGGUUCUCGAUUGGCGAACGCGUGAGUAACACGUGAGUAACCUGCCCUUGACUUUGGUAUAACUUCACGAAACUGGGGCUAAUACCAGAUAGGAUCUCCUGCUGCAUGGUGGGGGUUGGAAAGUUUCGGCGGUUGGGGAUGGACUGGCGGCUUAUCAGCUUGUUGGUGGGGUAGUGGCUUACCAAGGCUUUGACGGGUAGCCGGCCUGAGAGGGUGAACGGCGACAUUGGGACUGAGAUACGGACCAGACUCGUAUGGGAGGCAGCAGUGGGGAAUAUUGCACAAUGGGCGGAAGCCUGAGGCAGCAACGCCGCGUGCGGGAUGACGGCCUUCGGGUUGUAAACAGCUUUCGCCUGUGACGAAGCGUGAGUGACGGUAAUGGGUAAAGAAGCACCGGCUAACUACGUG